GAUACUCUUCCUUGGGCUUUGGGCUGAUGGGCCGUCACUGCUAUUGGGCUUGUUUAGUACGUACCCCAUCAUUCCCCUUUUUAUAUUUAGUUUUUAAUUAAAAUGAAGAGAGUUUAUCAGUCACUACAAAACAUAUGCAUAAAUAAAUUAUGUUUAGUAUUCGUUUAUGAUGUAUCACGUCAAUAUUUCAAGUUAAACCUUAAGCACCAACAAUACAUGAAUCACAAUUAAGUCGGACACACAUUAUUCAUAAUUUUUAAUUCAUUACAGUAUUUACUUUAUUAGUCUUCAAUACAUAUAUUUUCAAAAUUAUGAUAUUCAUAGAGUUAAAAUAUAAUGGCAUAAAUAAAAUAAUUGUGUUACUCCCAAAUUUGUAACCCUAGCAGAAGUCCGCCUCUUUCUCUCCUCCUCUUUCUGCCUCUUUCUCUCCUUCUCCACUCUAUAACCCUAGAAGAAUUCUUCCUGCCUCCACUCUCGUUCUCUCCAAGACAGCAAGCAUCCAACCCAUCUCUUAUCUCUAUCCAUCCCGCCGCCUCCGCCCUCCAGCCCGUGCUACAGCCCGUCGCCUCCAGCGGUCGCCUCUGCCCUCCAGCCAUCGACGCAUCCUCCAUAAGAAGAUUUAUGUUAUCUUGGGUAAGCAAUCAUUUAUGUUAUCUUCAAAACUCAGCAUUACUUUAUACGGAGAUCAGAUCCAAACCCAAAGACGUCCACAAGUCAUUGCCAACUUAAGAAAACUCUUACAGAAAAAAUGCAAGUGUAGCAGCAGAAAAUGUAAAAUUGCCUCAUUCACCAAAGAUAAUCCAGUCCCGAUGUGAUCACUUCAUAGUUAAUUAGGCAUUUAUAAGUUUAUAUAGAUAAAAACUUGAGCUAACUGCUUUAAAAGUCACAAACUUUUCUCAUUUUUCGGUUUUUCCCACGAACAAAAAAAUUGGCGUAUAAUGUCAUGAACUUUAUAUUUGGUCGCCGUUUUCCCAUAACGGGUUUUCCGGCCAUGAAACAAGCUGACGUGGCUGCUAAGCGUAUAUGUUGAGUGGAUGGCAAAUUCUAAGUUGAUGUGUCUUAUCAUCCUCCACCACUCACUGCCACCACCAUGCCCCUACCACUCUUCCUCACCGCCAGCCGCUGCCGCCGAGGACUCCGAUCAGCGACCACCAUCACCGGAAUCAGUUGAACGAGCUGACCUACUCACUCUCUGUAUAAACCCAAAACCCCCAAAUCUACACCACCGCAAGAAGCAAUGGGAAGUUGUACAAUUGGCCCUUCCCCAUCUCCCUCACAUGAUCCACAUGGCCUUCUGCUCCACCCUUCCUUCUUCCGCAGCAAAAUGUAGUGACUCAAUUCAGCCCACGCUUGAAUCCGACCGCUCCAAUUUCCGGCGCCGUCGGAGGCGAGUAGAAGUUAUUGAGAAACCACUCCGUGUUGGAGAAGCUUCCAUCCGUUUUCAGACUCUGAAACUAGAUCGCUGCAUUGGAGCUCAGCGAUUCAAUCGAGGUCGCCAGAUUGCUGCGUUGAUCGUGAAACUCUAAAUUCUCCCCUUGAUUGAGAGGAAAAGCAAACCCUAAUCGAGAGGGAUCGAGGUUAAAGCAUGGCUGCUGUCAAAUCGCAGGCAAUAAAUCGGCGAAAUUAGAAGUGAAUUGAUGGUGAAAAACGCUGGUAUUUGAUGAUUUGAGGAGCUGGAUAUCCAUGGCGGGGGAGAAUUUGAGGGCGUCGUCGUUGGGGAGGGAUUGAUCAUCUUGUUCUUACGCCAGCCACCGCCGCCUCCUCCUCCUUCGCGCCGUUGCCGGAGAAGGAGCUUCUAGAGGAGAGAGCAACUCGCCGUCGGUGAGGUCUACCGACGACGUCGUUUUGUCUAUGGAAAACGACGUCGUUUCAUGAAUUUCCGGCCUUCUCCACGUCAGAUUUCAAGCUUGCCACGUCCACACAAUUUCAACCGGAAAACUCCAGGGUCGAGUCAAAUGGGAAAUACUCACAACCCAACAAAGUUCAUGACAUUAUACGCCAAUUUUUUUGUUCGUGGGAAAAACCGGAAAAUGUGAAAAUUUAUGACUUUUAAGGCAGUUUGCCCGAAAAACUUCUCACACAUAAAAUCUUUGACCAAAUGAUACGAACUUCUUGUCACAAAUCAACAUCAUAACUUGCAUCCUAGUGGUAUCCCCAACCUAACAACAUUCUGCAUUAUGCUGUUAUAAAUCUACUUUAACCGAACACUAAAAAGCAAAUGCAUUUUAGAUUUGUUUACCGCUUUCUCAACAGUAGAACUACAUAACCACAUUCUCUUUUUUUAGCCCUAAUUACACACAUGAUUGAGCAACGGAGUCUGAAGACUUGUCGUGAAAAUUAAUAUUACCACACAAUUCUAAUAAGAAUUAUAGCAACCACGAUAAGGGAAUUUUAAGUUUUAUGCUUAACGGCACACAACAAAUCCACUAAUUCACCUGAAGCUAGAGACAGAAGUCGCUGCAGUUUCAAAAAAUCCAAUCCUAACAACACGCGAAUUGUGGAGCUGCAGCAGCUGUUUGAAAGGGACUCGGCACCAUGCGACUGUGGAUAAAGCUUCUUACUUUGGCGGAGACGACGGUGGUGAUCUCAGCAUAAUAUUGCGCAAUUGGGGAUUCAGGAAUCAAAAUUCAGUGAUCGGAGAGCUGAAAAGGGUUCAAAAUUAGGGCUGCGAAUUAUAGUUUCAAAAAUCACUCAUAUUUAGAGUUGUUAUAUUGGGAUUAAGAGUCUACUAUUUCUUUUCUCUCAUUUUUCUGAUUUUUUCGUUGAUCAUUUAUUUUAUAUUUUUGUUUUCUCCUCUUGAAAUCUAGUACUCCUAUUGUAUAAUCUAAUUAAGUUUAGUUAAUUAUUAUUAAUUUUC